ACAACUCUCCUCAACGGAUAUCUCGGCUCUCCUAUCAUUGAAGAACAUAGCAAAAUGCUAUACUUGUUGUGAAUUGUUGAAUCCCCUGAACCAUCAAGUCUUUUAACACCAGUUGCGCCCUAAUCCUUCUGGCCGACGACACGUCUGCCUGGGGGUCA
rnacentral:rRNA from 1 species